AUGAGGUCCACUGUGUCUGGGCUAGAAGUGGAUGAUGAUUGUGCUGAGGCUCAGGACGGGGAGCUGGACGGGCUCUGGACGACCAUCACCAUCUUCAUCAGCCUCUUCCUGCUCAGUGUGUGCUACAGUGCCUCCAUCACACUCUUCAAGGUAAAGUGGAUCUUCUCCUCAGUGGUGGAGCUGAAGCAGACAAUCUCCCCUGACUACAGAAACAUGAUUGUUUCUGUCAAGGCCCCUUCACUCUAUCCCUUGAAGCCCUGUAGCAGCGAAAACACGGCUUCGGUGACAUUGGGCUGCCUGGUAAAGGACUACUUCCCUGAUCCGGUGACUGUGACCUGGUAUUCAGACUCCCUGAACACGAGCACCAUGAACUUCCCGUCUAUCGGUUCUGAUCUUAAGACCACCACCAGCCAAAUGACCAGCUGGGGCAAGUCAGCCAAGAACUUCACUUGCCACGUGACACAUGCCCCAUCCACAUUCGUCAGUGACUUGACUAUCCGGGCUCGACCUGUCAACAUCACCAAGCCCACUGUAGAUCUACUCCAUUCAUCCUGCGACCCCAACGCAUUCCACUCCACCAUCCAGCUGUACUGCUUUGUUUACGGCCACAUCCAAAAUGAUGUCUCUAUCCACUGGCUAAUGGACGAUCGGAAGAUAUAUGAAACACAUGCACAAAAUGUCCUAAUCAAGGAGGAAGGCAAACUAGCCUCUACCUACAGUAGACUCAACAUCACCCAGCAGCAAUGGAUGUCUGAAAGCACCUUCACCUGCAAGGUCACCUCCCAAGGCGAGAACUAUUGGGCCCACACUCGGAGAUGCUCAGAUGAUGAGCCCCGGGGUGUGAUUACCUACCUGAUCCCACCCAGUCCCCUCGACCUGUAUGAAAAUGGGACUCCCAAACUUACCUGUCUGGUUUUGGACCUGGAAAGUGAGGAGAAUAUCACCGUGACGUGGGUCCGAGAGCGUAAGAAGUCUAUAGGUUCGGCAUCCCAGAGGAGUACCAAGCACCAUAAUGCCACAACCAGUAUCACCUCCAUCUUGCCAGUGGAUGCCAAGGACUGGAUCGAAGGUGAAGGCUACCAGUGCAGAGUGGACCACCCUCACUUUCCCAAGCCCAUUGUGCGUUCCAUCACCAAGGCCCCAGGCAAGCGCUCAGCCCCAGAGGUAUAUGUGUUCCUGCCACCGGAGGAGGAGGAGAAGGACAAACGAACACUCACCUGCUUGAUCCAGAAUUUCUUCCCCGAGGAUAUCUCUGUGCAGUGGCUGCAGGAUAGCAAGCUGAUCCCCAAAAGCCAACAUAGUACCACGACACCUCUGAAAUACAAUGGCUCCAACCAACGCUUCUUCAUCUUUAGCCGCCUGGAGGUCACCAAGGCACUCUGGACACAGACAAAACAGUUCACCUGCCGAGUGAUCCAUGAGGCACUUCGGGAACCCAGGAAGCUGGAGAGAACAAUAUCCAAGAGCCUUGAGCUAGACAUCCAGGACCUAUGUACCGAAGAGGUGGAGGGCGAGGAGCUGGAAGAGCUGUGGACCAGCACUUAUAUCUUCAUCAGCCUGUUCCUGCUCAGUGUGAGCUAUGGGGCCACUGUCACUGUUCUCAAGGUGGGAUCCUGCACCUCGGUGAAGUGGGUCUUCUCCACACUGAUGCACGAUACACCCCAGACCUUCCAAGACUAUGCCAACAUCCUCCAGACCAGGGCAUAG